rnacentral:lncRNA from 1 species
UCUACUGGCUAAAAGCAGAUCCUUCCAAUGUAUUUGACUAUGUUGCCCCCUACGGAUCCAGCUUAGAGACUCUCUGGCCUAGUUUCCAAAGAACGAUACUGGUUCACAUUUGUCAGAAGAUAUCAGAGCACAGAAGUGACUCCAAUCCUCGAAGUCCACUUCCAAGGACUGAGAAAUCUUGAGAACCUUGGAAAAGUGUAAGCCAGUACUGACAAUUAGAAGGAUUGGAUUCGUGCAAUGGCAAAAUUGCUGCCUUCACAUGAUAUCCUGGAUUGCAGCGAAUGGAGUUGCAUGUUGCACCCCUGAAUGUCCCCAUUCCUUAUCUGAACCCAUCGGUGACCCCGGAUGACAUAGGCAAAGACUCA